AUAGACUGAAGAGGGCCUGGCAGGGGGAGCAAUGUGCAAGUUAAAUGGCAGUUUUGGAUUUACCUGGGGGGAGCCAGGUGGACACAAAUGCAGUGUGUUUUGACGAUGAACAGAAAGGAAAAGGGAAAGCAUAAGUAAGGGUGCAGCUGCAUCAUGUUUAAACAGAGCAGAUGUGGCCUGUCAGUGUAACUUGGUGGUCAUGCAUGACGCUGGCCUCCAGUGUCGUCUUCCUAUGAUCAGGAUGAGGACUGUUGGGACCCAGCUGUCACAACGCAGACUGAUAUACAGGAAAAGCUUGGGUGUCCAGACAAAGCUGCCCACAACAGGUGCUGGUGUUGGUACAGCAGAGAUGAGACCAGCAGAGCAAUCCGUCAGAGGGCUGAUUUUGAGCUCUCAAAAACCUCCUCUAUUUCCUCCGACUGACUGGUCACAGCCUGAAAUUGAAGAUGAUCAGUGCGUGACAGUGGUAACCUAUCCUUUGUUGCAUGUCUCUUUCUCAUGGAGGAAUCAAGUAAUGUUGUUGUGACAGUACUGUAGAAAUGGAUGUGUGAGGGAUUGAAUACUGACCGAGUCCUCUUUUUUAGAUGAAAACACAGCAGUAGACUAAAUCCUGCAGUGUCUGCAUACUAAUUACAAUUUAAUCUAUCUUGCUUAACAAGAGCAUGCUGCAAAAAUGAAAUCAGUUCAUUUAGUGCCUCUGCUCAUCUAUUUCUGUUUACCAGUGGCAACACUGCUCAUUGUAGUGAGAAAACAUCUGUUGUUAUUGUAAAAAAAAAAAAAGUUUGUCAAUUUAACCAAUUAUUCUCUUAUUUUAACUAGAUGCUCUG